rnacentral:rRNA from 1 species
AGAGUUUGAUCAUGGCUCAGAUUGAACGCUGGCGGCAUGCCUUACACAUGCAAGUCGAACGGCAGCACGAGAGCUUGCUCUUGGUGGCGAGUGGCGAACGGGUGAGUAAUAUAUCGGAACGUACCCUAGAGUGGGGGAUAACGUAGCGAAAGUUACGCUAAUACCGCAUACGAUCUACGGAUGAAAGUGGGGGAUCGCAAGACCUCAUGCUCAUGGAGCGGCCGAUAUCUGAUUAGCUAGUUGGUGGGGUAAAAGCUCACCAAGGCGACGAUCAGUAGCUGGUCUGAGAGGACGACCAGCCACACUGGAACUGAGACACGGUCCAGACUCCUACGGGAGGCAGCAGUGGGGAAUUUUGGACAAUGGGCGCAAGCCUGAUCCAGCAAUGCCGCGUGAGUGAAGAAGGCCUUCGGGUUGUAAAGCUCUUUUGUCAGGGAAGAAACGGUGGACUCUAAUACAGAUCACUAAUGACGGUACCUGAAGAAUAAGCACCGGCUAACUACGUGCCAGCAGCCGCGGUAAUACGUAGGGUGCAAGCGUUAAUCGGAAUUACUGGGCGUAAAGCGUGCGCAGGCGGUUGUGCAAGACAGAUGUGAAAUCCCCGGGCUCAACCUGGGAAUUGCAUUCGUGACUGCACGGCUAGAGUGUGUCAGAGGGGGGUAGAAUUCCACGUGUAGCAGUGAAAUGCGUAGAGAUGUGGAGGAAUACCGAUGGCGAAGGCAGCCCCCUGGGAUAACACUGACGCUCAUGCACGAAAGCGUGGGGAGCAAACAGGAUUAGAUACCCUGGUAGUCCACGCCCUAAACGAUGUCUACUAGUUGUCGGGUCUUAAUUGACUUGGUAACGCAGCUAACGCGUGAAGUAGACCGCCUGGGGAGUACGGUCGCAAGAUUAAAGCUCAAAGGAAUUGACGGGGACCCGCACAAGCGGUGGAUGAUGUGGAUUAAUUCGAUGCAACGCGAAAAACCUUACCUACCCUUGACAUGUCUGGAAUCCUUGAGAGAUCAGGGAGUGCUCGAAAGAGAAUCAGAACACAGGUGCUGCAUGGCUGUCGUCAGCUCGUGUCGUGAGAUGUUGGGUUAAGUCCCGCAACGAGCGCAACCCUUGUCAUUAGUUGCUACGAAAGGGCACUCUAAUGAGACUGCCGGUGACAAACCGGAGGAAGGUGGGGAUGACGUCAAGUCCUCAUGGCCCUUAUGGGUAGGGCUUCACACGUCAUACAAUGGUACAUACAGAGGGCCGCCAACCCGCGAGGGGGAGCUAAUCCCAGAAAGUGUAUCGUAGUCCGGAUUGUAGUCUGCAACUCGACUACAUGAAGUUGGAAUCGCUAGUAAUCGCGGAUCAGCAUGUCGCGGUGAAUACGUUCCCGGGUCUUGUACACACCGCCCGUCACACCAUGGGAGCGGGUUUCACCAGAAGUGGGUAGCCUAACCGCAAGGAGGGCGCUCACCACGGUGGGAUUCGUGACUGGGGUGAAGUCGUAACAAGGUA